AAAUUUUCUAGGGAAAGAGGAGGAGGCUGGUGGUGAUGGUGGGAUGUCUCCCUGGAGCCUGGGGGUUUGGAAGAAGUGGCCUCCUAAUUAUCUCCUGGUAACCAGGCCCUCAGAUAUGUUCCUCCCACACUGACUGUGGGUUAGGUCAUGUGACUUGCUUUGGCCAGUGGGAGUUUAGACCUCACUCACAUGUCUGAGGUGUCAGUUGGGAUGGCUGGAAUGGCUGGAAUUGCUGGAGCUUCUCUUCACAUAGCCUCUCAUCCUCCAGGAGACCAGCCCAGGAAUGAGCCAGACUCCCAGAGAAGUUUGGAAAGAAAGCAGGAUAUGAUGGAGAACAACGAUGAGUGACCUGGUGCUGGAACCAGGAACAUAGAUAUUUAAAGUCAGGAAGAGGCAUCCAGUAUUGUGGUACUACAGAGCUGCUCACUCUCUCAGGAGGGAAAUAAUGAGAAUGUGGCCCAAUCCAGGGAAAUCAGCCAUGGCAGAUGAUGGCCCUCAGAGGUCUAAGGAAUUGGUGUUUGGGUUAUUUCUGGUCCACAUGGUAAGUGUUCAGGUUCUGGAGGAUGGAAGUCCAAGAUCAGGGUGCCAGCAUGGUCGAGUUCCGGUGAAGGCCCUCUUCCAGAUUGCAGACUGCUGACUUUUUGCUUUGCCUUCACAUGGUGGAAGGGGCAAGUGUUGUCUCUGGGGUCUCCUGACCUAAUCACCUCCCAUUCCUCUUGCGGGAUAGGAUUUCAAUAUAUGAAUCUUGGGUGGGGACACAGACGUUCAGACCACAGCUGUGAGGAGGGGCAGAAAAGCUGCAUGAGGUGAUGUGAAAGUUGAAAAGAGAAAAGUGUGAUGCUAUCCAGGAACCAUCUAAGGAAAAAACUCUUGCAAGGCAGAUUGAGAAUUUUAAAACAACACUCUCCCACCCAACUGCCCCAUGACAUCUGUUAACACAAGAGGCAGAGCUAUUUCCUGGAAAGCCUCCUUAUGUUUACAAGGGUGAGACCCUCUUGAUGUUUUUGCAACUUUAAUUAAAGAGCUGAGGGAUGGAUUUAUAUCCACAGCAGUUCCCAUGGGGGAACACACGGGCUGGUUGUACACAAUGCUGCACAGUCAAAUGAAAAGAGAAAAAGUCAAUCAAUUAUCCAGAUGUUUUGGAAUUUUACAUAAAUGUAGUCACAAUGGGGAUUUGAUCCUUGAUAAUAACGUAUUAUUCUUCCAUAAUGGUGGAGAAAAAUGUUCUUGGAAGGAAGACGAGAGUGUUUUCCUAAUACUCUUUUAUUCUUUCUUCUCCUUUCUGAGUUUAUACUUAACAGCAUCAAGCACGACAGAACAUGGAGACUGAGGACAGAAAACAGAAAAAAGCACAGGACAUGGCCCCCUCUCCAAAUUGCGGUUGAUGGGGGACUCAGCUCAACCUGGGCACUCAGGACCUAGGCUGACAAGGGCUCUGCCCUCGUAUGAUUUCACCAUCUCGACAGAAAGCUUUGGAGUUUUCACUGCAGCACGGGAGAAGAGUACGGAUAAUUGCAUACUGGUGCUUAAAUGCUUCCACCAGAACAAGACCCCUGUCACUUCCCUUCACUUCUCACUGACUAAAACAGCCAUGAAUAUUAUGCCUGUGUGAUUUCUCAGUGGAGAAGGAGUCUUGUCUAAUAGGAGGCACAGGGGGAAGGCUUCCUGGAACAUGUGGAGAAAAAUAAGGAAAAUGACCCAAUUGAAAGGUAAAUCCAGAAACAGAAAA